rnacentral:rRNA from 1 species
CCGGAGCUUGCUCCACCGGAAAAAGARGAGUCGGCUGAACGGGUGAGUAACACGUGGGUAACCUGCCCAUCAGAAGGGGAUAACACUUGGAAACAGGUGCUAAUACCGUAUAACAAUCGAAACCGCAUGGUUUUGAUUUGAAAGGCGCUUUCGGGUGUCGCUGAUGGAUGGACCCGCGGUGCAUUAGCUAGUUGGUGAGGUAACGGCUCACCAAGGCCACGAUGCAUAGCCGACCUGAGAGGGUGAUCGGCCACAUUGGGACUGAGACACGGCCCAAACUCCUACGGGAGGCAGCAGUAGGGAAUCUUCGGCAAUGGACGAAAGUCUGACCGAGCAACGCCGCGUGAGUGAAGAAGGUUUUCGGAUCGUAAAACUCUGUUGUUAGAGAAGAACAAGGAUGAGAGUAACUGUUCAUCCCUUGACGGUAUCUAACCAGAAAGCCACGGCUAACUACGUGCCAGCAGCCGCGGUAAUACGUAGGUGGCAAGCGUUGUCCGGAUUUAUUGGGCGUAAAGCGAGCGCAGGCGGUUUCUUAAGUCUGAUGUGAAAGCCCCCGGCUCAACCGGGGAGGGUCAUUGGAAACUGGGAGACUUGAGUGCAGAAGAGGAGAGUGGAAUUCCAUGUGUAGCGGUGAAAUGCGUAGAUAUAUGGAGGAACACCAGUGGCGAA